rnacentral:ncRNA from 1 species
UCGGAGAGACAACAGGGAUUGCCCUAGUAACGGCGAGUGAAGCGGCAACAGCUCAAAUUUGAAAUCUGGCUCUCGGGCCCGAGUUGUAAUUUGUAGAGGAUACUUUUGAUGCGGUGCCUUCCGAGUUCCCUGGAACGGGACGCCAUAGAGGGUGAGAGCCCCGUCUGGUUGGAUGCCAAAUCUCUGUAAAGUUCCUUCGACGAGUCGAGUAGUUUGGGAAUGCUGCUCUAAAUGGGAGGUAUAUGUCUUCUAAAGCUAAAUACCGGCCAGAGACCGAUAGCGCACAAGUAGAGUGAUCGAAAGAUGAAAAGCACUUUGAAAAGAGAGUUAAAAAGUACGUGAAAUUGUUGAAAGGGAAGCGUUUAUGACCAGACUUGGGCUUGGUUAAUCAUCUGGGGUUCUCCCCAGUGCACUUUUCCAGUCCAGGCCAGCAUCAGUUUUCGCCGGGGGAUAAAGACUUCGGGAAUGUGGCUCUCUUCGGGGAGUGUUAUAGCCCGUUGUGUAAUACCCUGGCGGGGACUGAGGUUCGCGCAUCUGCAAGGAUGCUGGCGUAAUGGUCAUCAACGACCCGUCUUGAAACACGGACCAAGGAGUCGUCUUCGUAUGCGAGUGUUCGGGUGUCAAACCCCUACGCGUAAUGAAAGUGAACGCAGGUGAGAGCUUCGGCGCAUCAUCGACCGAUCCUGAUGUUCUCGGAUGGAUUUGAGUAAGAGCAUACGGGGCCGGACCCGAAAGAAGGUGAACUAUGCCUGUAUAGGGUGAAGCCAGAGGAAACUCUGGUGGAGGCUCGCAGCGGUUCUGACGUGCAAAUCGAUCGUCAAAUAUGGGCAUGGGGGCGAAAGACUAAUCGAACCUUCUAGUAGCUGGGUUCCGCG